AGGUAAGCUACUAAGAGCGAAUGGUGGAUGCCUUGACUGGUAAAGGCGAUGAAGGACGUACUAGACUGCGAUAAGCUACGGGGAGCUGUCAAGAAGCUUUGAUCCGUAGAUUUCCGAAUGGGGCAACCCAAUGUAUAGAGAUAUACAUUACCUAUAUAGGAGCGAACGAGGGGAAUUGAAACAUCUUAGUACCCUCAGGAAAAGAAAUCAAUAGAGAUUGCGUCAGUAGCGGCGAGCGAAAGCGCAAGAGGGCAAACCCAGUGCUUGCACUGGGGGUUGUAGGACUGCAAUGUGCAAGAGGUGAGUUUAGCAGAACAUUCUGGAAAGUAUAGCCAUAGAGGGUGAUAGUCCCGUAUGCGAAAAACAAACCUUAGCUAGCAGUAUCCUGAGUAGGGCGGGACACGAGAAAUCCUGUCUGAAGCUGGGUCGACCACGAUCCAACCCUAAAUACUAAUACCAGAUCGAUAGUGCACAAGUACCGUGAGGGAAAGGUGAAAAGAACUGAGGUGAUCAGAGUGAAAUAGAACCUGAAACCAUUUGCUUACAAUCAUUCAGAGCCCUAUGUAGCAAUACAGGGUGAUGGACUGCCUUUUGCAUAAUGAGCCUGCGAGUUGUGGUGUCUGGCAAGGUUAAGCAAACGCGAAGCCGUAGCGAAAGCGAGUCUGAAUAGGGCGCUUAGUCAGAUGCUGCAGACCCGAAACGAAGUGAUCUAUCCAUGAGCAAGUUGAAGCUAGUGUAAGAACUAGUGGAGGACUGAACCCAUAGGCGUUGAAAAGCCCCGGGAUGACUUGUGGAUAGGGGUGAAAGGCCAAUCAAACUUCGUGAUAGCUGGUUCUCUCCGAAAUAUAUUUAGGUAUAGCGUUGUGUCGUAAUAUAAGGGGGUAGAGCACUGAAUGGGCUAGGGCAUACACCAAUGUACCAAACCCUAUCAAACUCCGAAUACCUUAUAUGUAAUCACAGCAGUCAGGCGGCGAGUGAUAAAAUCCGUCGUCAAGAGGGAAACAACCCAGACUACCAGCUAAGGUCCCUAAAUCUUACUUAAGUGGAAAACGAUGUGAAGUUACUUAAACAACCAGGAGGUUGGCUUAGAAGCAGCCAUCCUUUAAAGAAAGCGUAAUAGCUCACUGGUCUAGUGAUUUUGCGCGGAAAAUAUAACGGGGCUAAAGUAAGUACCGAAGCUGUAGACUUGCACACAACUUAGAUUAUUUAAGUUUAGAAUAUGAGAAACUAAGUUAUAUGUUUAGUUAUAUUUUUACUGAUUUUUAUAGAGUAAAGAUAGAAAUAAAACUUAGUAAAAUCAGUAAAAAUAUUCUUAGACUAAAGUUAAGUAGUUUAAGUUGUGUGCAAGUGGUAGGAGAGCGUUCUAUUUGCGUCGAAGGUAUACCGGUAAGGAGUGCUGGAGCGAAUAGAAGUGAGCAUGCAGGCAUGAGUAGCGAUAAUUAAUGUGAGAAUCAUUAACGCCGUAAACCCAAGGUUUCCUACGCGAUGCUCGUCAUCGUAGGGUUAGUCGGGUCCUAAGUCGAGUCCGAAAGGGGUAGACGAUGGCAAAUUGGUUAAUAUUCCAAUACCAACAUUAGUGUGCGAUGGAAGGACGCUUAGGGCUAAGGGGGCUAGCGGAUGGAAGUGCUAGUCUAAGGUCGUAGGAGGUUAUACAGGCAAAUCCGUAUAACAAUACUCCGAGAACUGAAAGGCUUUUUGAAGUCUUCGGAUGGAUAGAAGAACCCCUGAUGCCGUCGAGCCAAGAAAAGUUUCUAAGUUUAGCUAAUGUUGCCCGUACCGUAAACCGACACAGGUGGGUGGGAUGAGUAUUCUAAGGCGCGUGGAAGAACUCUCUUUAAGGAACUCUGCAAAAUAGCACCGUAUCUUCGGUAUAAGGUGUGGUUCGCUUCGUAUUAGGAUUUACUCCGAAAGCGAAGAAACUUACAACAAAGAGUCCCUCCCGACUGUUUACCAAAAACACAGCACUCUGCUAACUCGUAAGAGGAUGUAUAGGGUGUGACGCCUGCCCGGUGCUCGAAGGUUAAUUGAUGGGGUUAGCAUUAGCGAAGCUCUUGAUCGAAGCCCGAGUAAACGGCGGCCGUAACUAUAACGGUCCUAAGGUAGCGAAAUUCCUUGUCGGUUAAAUACCGACCUGCAUGAAUGGCGUAACGAGAUGGGAGCUGUCUCAAAGAGGGAUCCAGUGAAAUUGUAGUGGAGGUGAAAAUUCCUCCUACCCGCGGCAAGACGGAAAGACCCCGUGGACCUUUACUACAGCUUGACACUGCUAUUUGGAUAAGAAUGUGCAGGAUAGGUGGGAGGCUUUGAGUAUAUGACGCCAGUUGUAUAUGAGCCAUUGUUGAGAUACCACUCUUUCUUAUUUGGGUAGCUAACCAGCUUGAGUUAUCCUCAAGUGGGACAAUGUCUGGUGGGUAGUUUGACUGGGGCGGUCGCCUCCCAAAUAAUAACGGAGGCUUACAAAGGUUGGCUCAGAACGGUUGGAAAUCGUUCGUAGAGUAUAAAGGUAUAAGCCAGCUUAACUGCAAGACAUACAAGUCAAGCAGAGACGAAAGUCGGUCUUAGUGAUCCGGUGGUUCUGUGUGGAAGGGCCAUCGCUCAAAGGAUAAAAGGUACCCCGGGGAUAACAGGCUGAUCUCCCCCAAGAGCUCACAUCGACGGGGAGGUUUGGCACCUCGAUGUCGGCUCAUCGCAUCCUGGGGCUGGAGCAGGUCCCAAGGGUAUGGCUGUUCGCCAUUUAAAGCGGUACGCGAGCUGGGUUCAGAACGUCGUGAGACAGUUCGGUCCCUAUCUGCCGUGGGCGUAAGAAGAUUGAAGAGAUUUGACCCUAGUACGAGAGGACCGGGUUGAACAAACCACUGGUGUAGCUGUUGUUCUGCCAAGAGCAUCGCAGCGUAGCUAAGUUUGGAAAGGAUAAACGCUGAAAGCAUCUAAGCGUGAAGCCAACUCUAAGAUGAAUCUUCUCUAAGCUCUCUAGAAGACUACUAGUUUGAUAGGCUGGGUGUGUAAUGGAUGAAAGUCCUUUAGCUGACCAGUACUAAUAGAGCGUUUGGCUUAUCUUU
rnacentral:rRNA from 1 species